GAUGAACGCUAGCGGGAGGCCUAACACAUGCAAGCCGAGCGGUAGAGUCUCUUCGGAGACUUGAGAGCGGCGCACGGGUGCGGAACACGUGUGCAACCUGCCUUUAUCUGGGGGAUAGCCUUUCGAAAGGAAGAUUAAUACCCCAUAAUAUACUGGAUGGCAUCAUCUGGUAUUGAAAGCUCCGGUGGAUAGAGAUGGGCACGCGCAAGAUUAGAUAGUUGGUGAGGUAACGGCUCACCAAGUCAGCGAUCUUUAGGGGGCCUGAGAGGGUGAUCCCCCACACUGGUACUGAGACACGGACCAGACUCCUACGGGAGGCAGCAGUGAGGAAUAUUGGACAAUGGGUGAGAGCCUGAUCCAGCCAUCCCGCGUGAAGGACGACGGCCCUAUGGGUUGUAAACUUCUUUUGUAUAGGGAUAAACCUAGAUACGUGUAUCUAGCUGAAGGUACUAUACGAAUAAGCACCGGCUAACUCCGUG
rnacentral:rRNA from 1 species